rnacentral:misc_RNA from 1 species
UUCAAAAAUGGGCGCAUAUGUGACGAAAUACGGCCCUGCUUAGAAUCCAUUCACAGAAUGAAUGAACCGCCUCUUCGUUCUGUUCAUGUAGUCACUCAGUAGUGUCAUGGAGGUAACAUGGCCGAAGAGACGCGCCUAGUUCGCGUUGAAGAAAGAUUAAAGAUUAAAAUCGGUGAAGUAAAAAAUCUACAAGGUAGAAGUCAUGGAUCUCCCGGUGCAAGAGAUGUGUAUUGUACAUUGUCUCUCGAUCAAGAAGAAAUAUUUAGAACAGCAACAAUGGAAAGAACUCUCAGCCCAUUUUUUGGAGAAGAAUUUCAAUUUGAAGUACCUAGGAAAUUUCGUUAUCUUGGCAUUUAUGUUUAUGAUCGGGAUAGGCAUUUAAAGCAAGAUAAAAUUUUGGGCAAAGUGGCAAUAAAGAGGGAAGAUUUAGCAAAAUAUCAUAAUAAGGAGCAUUGGUUUCCUUUGGGACCGGUUGAUGCUGAUUCCGAAGUACAAGGUAAAGCACACCUGGAACUUGCUCUACAACCUCAAAGUGGACAUGUUCAGUCUAAACUUACAGUAAGGGUUAUAGAAUGUAAUGACUUAACUCUUAAAAAUGGUGGCUGUGAUCCAUUCGCAACUGUGACAGUCAUUUAUAGUAAUGGUAAACAAAUAUUAAAGCGCACAAAAAUAAAAAAAAAAACAGUAUCUCCAUAUUUUAAUGAAACAUUCACCUUUGAGCCAGAAAUAACAGAAUCCAAAGAGAAGGAUAUUUCUCAAUGCCCCCUAGAACAUGGAGAAGUGGGUGAAGUAGUUGUAGGUUUAUGGCAUGCAUCCCCUGGUAUGGGAGAACAACCAGCUUUUCUUGGUGAAGUUAGGAUUACUUUAAGAGGCCUACAAAAACAACCAACCAAUGCAACAACUGCAUGGUACUUUCUUCAGCCUAGAGCAACAAAACAUCGUCCAAGUAAAAUUUCCAACAGUUCUACUCCAGCUGGUGUAUUACCAGAUUUAGGAUCAUUGCGAUUAAAAAUUCAUUAUACUGCUGAUCAUGUUUUUCCAUCAGCAAUGUAUGAUAAACUUAGAAAUUUGUUAUUACAAAGUGUUAAUGUUCAUCCAAUAACUUCUUCUGCUGUGUAUAUUUUGGGAGAAAUUGUAGCAAGUAAAAUGGAAGCUGCACAACCAUUAGUUAGAGUGUUAGUACAUUAUGGACAGUUGGUUUCUGUAAUGAAAGCUUUAGCUAGUCAUGAAAUUUCUAAAUUAACGGAUCCAACAACAAUAUUUCGCGGUAACACUUUAGUAAGUAAAAUGAUGGAUGAAGGCAUGAGAUUAGCAGGUCUACAUUAUUUACAUAGUACACUGAGACCAGCUAUGGAACAAGUUUUCCUAGAAAAGAAACCGUGUGAAAUAGAUCCAACAAGAGUAAAGGAUGCAAACACGAUUCAAACUAAUUUAGCAAAUCUAAAGGAAUAUGUGGAAAGAGUGUUUACUGCUAUUACAACAUCGGGUGUGCGAUGUCCACCUUUAAUGUGUGAAAUGUUCUGGUGCUUAAGAGAACUUGCAGCAACACAUUUUCCAAAAAACAAAGAAGUAAGAUAUUCAGUUAUUAGUGGAUUUAUUUUUCUACGAUUUUUUGCUCCUGCAAUAUUGGGUCCAAGACUGUUUGACAUUACUACUGAGCAAAUUGAUUCUCAGACUAAUAGAACGUUAACAUUAAUUUCAAAAACAAUUCAGAGUCUAGGAAACUUAGUAAGUUGUAGAGGCGGCGCAGGCAGUGUUUGUAAAGAAGAAUAUAUGGAAUGUGUAUAUAGGGAAUUUUAUACGGAAAGGCAUAUUCAAGCAGUAAAACAAUUUCUGGAACUGAUUUCAACUAGUAGCAAUAGUGGUAUUAUAAAACAACGACCAAAUACUCAGCAAGAACAGCCAAUUAUCCUAAAAGAGGGAACAUAUUUCCUCUUCAUGCACACUUCUGAUUGUAAUAAGAGAGUAAUGAUAAAAAGAGCACAAGGUAGAAAACGAUUUGGACGUAAAAAUUUCAAGCAGCGGUACUUUAGGCUCACUACGCAAAAUCUUACUUAUUCCAAGUCAAAAGGUAAAGAACCUUUAUGUAAAAUUCCACUUGAAGACAUUUUAGCUGUGGAGAGACUUCAAGAAGAUUCUUUCAAAAUGAAAAAUAUGUUUCAAAUUAUUCAGUCACAACGAGCAUUAUAUGUUCAAGCCAGUAACUGCGUAGAAGAAAAAGAAUGGAUUGAUAUUCUGACAAAAAUUUGUCAUACAAACAGUAAUCGUUUAGAAAAAUACCAUCCAAGUGCAUAUAUCAAUGGCCAUUGGCUUUGUUGCAAAGCAGUGGCCGAAGUAGCACCAGGAUGUAGUGAAGUGUCGCCAGCUGUAGAAGCUGGUUUACGUAUGGUUCUAGAUCCAGCUAGAGAUUUGCAACGAAUUCAUUCAUUGAUAUUCACAAAUAUGCCAAGACUUGAAACGCUAAUGAGUGCAUGUGAGUGUCAAGCUGUUUAUGGAGCUAACGAUAUGUGUAUGAUACCGGGUGGUGGAUCUCCUAUAGAAGAUGUGCCUUCAUGUUUUAAAACUUUAACUGCGUUAAGAGAAGCUGCAUAUGCUUUGCAGCAUGAACAUAGAGCCUAUUUUAGAAGACUUGCACGUGACACUAAGUAUGGAAGCAAGCAAGCUCCAAUUGGGGACGAUAACUACCUUCACUUAGCUGCAAGAGCUGGUUUUGAAAAUCAGUUAACAAAACGCGUGUAUGAAACAGACAGUUUAAAUCAACAUUAUGUAGAAUCCGAUCAUUGUUACGAUAGCGGAUUUUCUAGAAAAAUAGAAGAUCAGCAGUACGAUGAAACAUUUAUAAAAUGUUUAGAUUCUGAAUCAAUACAUCGUAGGUACAGAUACACUUUCUGGUGAAGGAUGUCCGGGGAUGUACAAACAAGAAAACGAAAAGAGAAGAAACGUAAAAAGGAUGAGGAAGACAAUGUCAUACCCUCCACCCCUGCGCCAACUGUCUCCGAAAAUAUAACAGACAAUAUAACUUUGCACAUUUAUAAAGA